rnacentral:misc_RNA from 1 species
GAUGAAGAACGUAGCGAAAUGCGAUAAGUAAUGUGAAUUGCAGAAUUCAGUGAAUCAUCGAAUCUUUGAACGCACAUUGCGCCCGCCAGUAUUCUGGCGGGCAUGCCUGUUCGAGCGUCAUUUCAACCAUCAAGCCCCCGGCUUGUGUUGGGGACCUGCGGCUGCCGCAGGCCCUGAAAAGCAGUGGCGGGCUCGCUGUCACACCGAGCGUAGUAGAUUUCAUCUCGCUCAGGGCGUGCUGCGGGUUCCGGCCGUUAAACCACCUUCAUAACCCAAGGUUGACCUCGGAUCAGGUAGGAAGACCCGCUGAACUUAAGCAUAUCAAUAAGCGGAAGGA